rnacentral:rRNA from 1 species
UACGUAGGGUGCAAGCGUUAAUCGGAAUUACUGGGCGUAAAGCGUGCGCAGGCGGUUUUGUAAGUCUGUCGUGAAAUCCCCGGGCUCAACCUGGGAAUUGCGAUGGAGACUGCAAGGCUAGAAUCUGGCAGAGGGGGGUAGAAUUCCACGUGUAGCAGUGAAAUGCGUAGAUAUGUGGAGGAACACCGAUGGCGAAGGCAGCCCCCUGGGUCAAGAUUGACGCUCAUGCACGAAAGGCGUGGGGAGCAAACAGGAU